CUGUGCUAAACGGGAAGUUAGCGGUGUCCUGUAACCCGCAAUCCGCUAUAGCGGGGUUGAAUACCCACACAUGAGGUUCUUAUGCCCUUCAGCAGCUCCGCACGGACGGUGCUUAUAAUCUGGUCCCACGCAGCGAUAACACACCCAACCCCGUCAGGACCGGAAGGUAGCAGCGGUAAGUGUCGUAGUCGGGUGCCGUGGGGGUGCUGGGUUUCAGUCGUCCGGCGGCAGUGUCGUUGGAGUGUGCAUAAAAUCGAAGGUGGGGCACAG
rnacentral:SRP_RNA from 1 species